rnacentral:rRNA from 1 species
GAUGAACGCUAGCGGCAGGCUUAAUACAUGCAAGUCGAGGGGCAGCACGGGUAGCAAUACCUGGUGGCGACCGGCAAACGGGUGCGGAACACGUACGCAACCUUCCCAUAACUGGUGAAUAGCCCUCCGAAAGGAGGAUUAAUACACCGUAACUUAACGAAGUGGCAUCACUUUGUUAAUAUAGGCUUCGGCCGGUUUUGGAUGGGCGUGCGCCUGAUUAGGUAGUUGGCGGGGUAACGGCCCACCAAGCCUGCGAUCAGUAACUGGUGUGAGAGCACGACCAGUCACACGGGCACUGAGACACGGGCCCGACUCCUACGGGAGGCAGCAGUAAGGAAUAUUGGACAAUGGACGCAAGUCUGAUCCAGCCAUGCCGCGUGAAGGAUUAAGGUCCUCUGGAUUGUAAACUUCUUUUAUAAGGGUACGAAAAAAGGUACUUUCUAGAUCGUCUGACGGUACCUUAUGAAUAAGCACCGGCUAACUCCGUGCCAGCAGCCGCGGUAAAGUACAGUGU